AGUGAACGCUGGCGGUAGGCCUAACACAUGCAAGUCGAACGGCAGCACAGUAAGAGCUUGCUCUUACGGGUGGCGAGUGGCGGACGGGUGAGGAAUACAUCGGAAUCUACUUUUUCGUGGGGGAUAACGUAGGGAAACUUACGCUAAUACCGCAUAAGACCUACGGGUGAAAGCAGGGGAUCUUCGGACCUUGCGCGAUUGAAUGAGCCGAUGUCGGAUUAGCUAGUUGGCGGGGUAAAGGCCCACCAAGGCGACGAUCCGUAGCUGGUCUGAGAGGAUGACCAGCCACACUGGAACUGAGACACGGUCCAGACUCCUACGGGAGGCAGCAGUGGGGAAUAUUGGACAAUGGGCGCAAGCCUGAUCCAGCCAUACCGCGUGGGUGAAGAAGGCCUUCGGGUUGUAAAGCCCUUUUGUUGGGAAAGAAAAGCAGCAGGUUAAUACCCCGCUGUUCUGACGGUACCCAAAGAAUAAGCACCGGCUAACUUCAUG
rnacentral:rRNA from 1 species